AUACGUAGGUGGCAAGCGUUAUCCGGAUUUACUGGGCGUAAAGGGUGUGUAGGCGGGACGGCAAGUCAGAUGUGAAAACUAUGGGCUCAACUCAUAGCCUGCAUUUUAAACUGUCGUUCUUGAGAGUCGGAGAGGAAAAUGGAAUUCCCGGUGUAGCGGUGAAAUGCAUAGAUAUCGGGAGGAACACCAGUGGCGAAGGCGAUUUACUGGACGACAACUGACGCUGAGACACGAAAGUGUGGGGAGCAAACAGGAUUAGAUACCCUGGUAGUCCACACCGUAAACGAUGAAUGCUAGGUGUAGGGGGAGAUAUUCCUCUGUGCCGCAGCUAACGCAAUAAGCAUUCCGCCUGGGGAGUACGGCCGCAAGGUUGAAACUUAAAUGAAUUGGCGGGG
rnacentral:rRNA from 1 species